AUCAGUAGAAAAGCCAGGGGAGCUGUGUGUCUGGCUGUUAACCAGAAGGUUGGUGGUUCGAGCCCACCCAGGGACA